CAGUCGCCGCGGGAAUACGGAGGGUGCAAGCGUUACUCGGAAUUACUGGGCGUAAAGCGUGCGUAGGUGGUGGUUUAAGUCCGUUGUGAAAGCCCUGGGCUCAACCUGGGAAUUGCAGUGGAUACUGGGUCACUAGAGUGUGGUAGAGGAUAGUGGAAUUUCCGGUGUAGCAGUGAAAUGCGUAGAGAUCGGAAGGAACAUCUGUGGCGAAGGCGACUAUCUGGGCCAACACUGACACUGAGGCACGAAAGCGUGGGGAGCAAACAGGAUUAGAUACCCCUGUAGUCCCUGUCUCUUAUAC
rnacentral:rRNA from 1 species